rnacentral:rRNA from 1 species
AGUGAACGCUGGCGGUAGGCCUAACACAUGCAAGUCGAACGGCAGCACAGUAAGAGCUUGCUCUUACGGGUGGCGAGUGGCGGACGGGUGAGGAAUACAUCGGAAUCUACUUUUUCGUGGGGGAUAACGUAGGGAAACUUACGCUAAUACCGCAUACGACCUACGGGUGAAAGCAGGGGAUCUUCGGACCUUGCGCGAUUGAAUGGGCCGAUGUCGGAUUAGCCAGUUGGCGGGGUAAAGGCCCACCAAGGCGACGAUCCGUAGCUGGUCUGAGAGGAUGAGCAGCCACACUGGAACUGAGACACGGUCCAGACUCCUACGGGAGGCAGCAGUGGGGAAUAUUGGACAAUGGGCGCAAGCCUGAUCCAGCCAUACCGCGUGGGUGAAGAAGGCCUUCGGGUUGUAAAGCCCUUUUGUUGGGAAAGAAAAGCAGCAGGUUAAUACCCCGCUGUUCUGACGGUACCCAAAGAAUAAGCACCGGCUAACUUCGUG